rnacentral:rRNA from 1 species
AUUGAACGCUGGCGGCAGGCCUAACACAUGCAAGUCGAGCGGGGUUUUCGGACCUAGCGGCGGACGGGUGAGUAAUGCGUAGGAAGCUACCCGAUAGAGGGGGAUACCAGUUGGAAACGACUGUUAAUACCGCAUAAUGUCUACGGACUAAAGUGUGGGACCUUCGGGCCACAUGCUAUCGGAUGCGCCUACGUGGGAUUAGCUAGUUGGUGAGGUAAUGGCUCACCAAGGUGACGAUCCCUAGCUGGUUUGAGAGGAUGAUCAGCAACACUGGAACUGAGACACGGUCCAGACUCCUACGGGAGGCAGCAGUGGGGAAUAUUGGACAAUGGGCGCAAGCCUGAUCCAGCCAUGCCGCGUGUGUGAAGAAGGCCUUCGGGUUGUAAAGCACUUUCAGUAGGGAGGAAGCGUUGUGUGUUAAUAGUACACAGCGUUGACGUUACCUACAGAAGAAGCACCGGCUAACUCUGUGCCAGCAGCCGCGGUAAUAC